GCGUUUAAUAAGGCGACAGCAGAGUUAUUAUUUGGAGCUGAUAACCCAGUAAUUAAGCAGCAACGAGUUGCAACUAUUCAAGGUCUGUCAGGGACUGGUUCUCUUAGACUAGCAGCUGCUCUUAUAGAACGAUACUUCCCUGGUGCAAAAGUUCUUAUAUCUUCUCCAACUUGGGGGAAUCAUAAAAAUAUUUUCAAUGAUGCGAGAGUUCCAUGGUCUGAGUAUCGAUAUUAUGACCCUAAAACAGUUGGUUUGGAUUUUGAAGGGAUGAUGUCUGAUAUUAAGGCAGCACCUGAAGGAUCUUUUGUGCUG
rnacentral:misc_RNA from 1 species